ACAGGUGUAGCUCAAUUGGUAGAGCAACGGUCUCCAAAACCGUAGGCUGGGGGUUCGAGUCCCUCCUCCUGUGCCA
rnacentral:tRNA from 1 species